AUGAUCGCUCUUGUAGUCAGAGAUCACAAUCCCUACAGUAGUCUGUGUCAUCAGAAGGCUUAAAUAGUGCAGCUUUAAUACAGUAUUUAUACAUCCAUGUAUCUAAGGUGUGGCUAUUGAACUAUGGAGACACAACCAACCUGCCUGCAGUGGAGAGAACCGGAAACGACGAUCAGCAGAAAUCUCUGAUGAAAGACUGAGAAGGACGAUCCUCAUCCUGGACCCAGAAUUCAAAUCGACAAGAACGUCUGACUCUUCGAAGAACAAAACCGUUUCUGUGAAUGACGUCACAACCCCGAUUGUGGCUUCCGUUGCCAUAGUGAUCAUCAUGCUGCUUGUCAUCUGCAUUGUGGUUUUGUUGGUUGUCAAGAAGAGAAGGUCCAACCAGAAGUCUCAAGACAAGGGCGUGAAUAAUCACGCCAUUUAAUCAGCUUCUCCGGUUAAAUAAAAAACACGUCUGAUUUUAUUUAAUUUUUUGUAGCAGACAAAUGAUGGAACAAUGCUAGCUUCACCACUGUGACUUGGAAUUUAGACGACUUUAUUAAAUAUUUCGUUGAAUUUAUUCAUUCAGUCAUUAUGUUCUUUCAAAAUCUUGUAAGUCAAAUAUAUCUAAGUUUAAAGAAGAAAAACAAAAGACGAAACAUUUCACUGACAUUCUAAACAAUUCACGAGUCAGAAUCAAGUGAUUAAUUUUGAAAACAUGAUACCAGAACAUUUACAGACGACUGCGGCUGUUGAUUCUCGUGUUUAUGUUAAUAUAGAGCACAUUGAUUUAUUGGAUGUCAAACAUUUGGCCAUUGAGAUGCAGUCAUAAAGAGGAAACCCUGUACAUUAUUCCAUUUGUAACAAGGCAUAUUUUAUAUGCACGAUCCCACAUACAGGAUAGCACAUUCCUUUGAUAUACUAGUCGUGGUGUACUGGGCAGAACGAGAAAUGGCCUAAUAGGCCCACCGACAGAGACCACUAUCUAGUACCUCGUCUAUAGGAGGACAGCCAUUUCAACCCGCUUGCACGAACAGAAAGAGGACUACCACUCUCAGACUAGUUUACUGAAUCACCAUUGGAUUAAAUUUUGAUAAAUUACGCAAGCCAUUAAGUCCGUUUUCCACGAACACUGUAGGAUAAUACAUACGCAUGUAUGGUUCACACGCGAUGUUUGAAUAAACAACUGGUACAGCAGUCGACAAAUGAAGGCUUGUAAUCGUGGAUGUUUCCUUCUCAUCUUUCUCACCAACUGCACGAGACAGAUAACAUCACCUACAUCAUGGCCCCAUGAACCUGCUAGGUAUUUUAUUUCGGUUUCCUGAACAUUUUGACUUACGGGGUUUUCAAAAAACAGUAAUAUGUUUUAGUCCAGAAUUAUAAACCCUGCUUUUAAACUGAAUCGUAAUAAACAGAUGAGCA
rnacentral:misc_RNA from 1 species